AUUGAACGCUGGCGGCAUGCUUUACACAUGCAAGUCGAACGGCAGCGCGGGGCAACCUGGCGGCGAGUGGCGAACGGGUGAAUAAUACAUCGGAACGUACCCAGACGUGGGGGAUAACGUAGCGAAAGUUACGCUAAUACCGCAUACGUUCUACGGAAGAAAGUGGGGGACCUGCGGGCCUCAUGCUUUUGGAGCGGCCGAUGUCUGAUUAGCUAGUUGGUGAGGUAAAGGCUCACCAAGGCGACGAUCAGUAGCUGGUCUGAGAGGACGACCAGCCACACUGGGACUGAGACACGGCCCAGACUCCUACGGGAGGCAGCAGUGGGGAAUUUUGGACAAUGGGCGCAAGCCUGAUCCAGCAAUGCCGCGUGAGUGAAGAAGGCCUUCGGGUUGUAAAGCUCUUUUGUCAGGGAAGAAACGGCUGAGGUUAAUACCUUUGGCUAAUGACGGUACCUGAAGAAUAAGCACCGGCUAACUACGUGCCAGCCGCCGCGGUAACAC
rnacentral:rRNA from 1 species